GUUUAUGAGUGAAAUGUAUUUAAUAUAUAGUUUUUAGAAAAAGUAAAAAACGAAUUGAAUACUCUUCUUACAGAAAUAUUGAAGCUGAAUUAAAUUGAGAAUUCAUCAUUUAAAAAGCGAGUAUUAGGUUUUAAAAGAUCUGCUGCUCUUCCAGGGCUCCAGUAACCCGGGACACACCGAGGUGCUGGGCACAGUCCACAGAGACCGCGGCUGGCGUGUUCUUUGCCUCCAAAGCCAAGGUGACCAGCCUUGGCUCUUCCACCCUGGGAACUUGAGCCUGUGUGAUGGGUGGGGAUAAAUGGCAGUGCUCAGGGCCCCAGGGGUUCUGCUGCGAGAAGUGUCUACUUCCUAAGGAAGCGUUCAAGCCAACAGUAGGAUCUGCACGGGGCUAGCUCCUGGAGAGUGGGCAGUGGGGGCACUGGGCUAACUGAGGGACACUAGCAACGCUAAGGAGGGGAGCAGAGGGAUCUACGUGUCGGAGACUGCACUGAAGAAUAAAUGCUAGGUCUGUGCCGUGACUUAACUAUUGGACAUUCUGGGGUCUUCGUGAAAUUUAUAGUUAAAGAUACCAGGAUUGGAAGGUUAUUUUCUGAGACCCUCCUACAAAACGAAAGAUUCACAUAUACUUAGAGCGAUUGAAAUAAAUCAUUGUUUUUUUUGGUCUGUUUUGUGGCCUCACUCUAUUGGUUUUAUUUAUUUUUGCAGUUUAGUUGACUUAUAAUAUUCUGUUAGUUUCUGGUGUACAGCAUAGUGAUUCAG